rnacentral:rRNA from 1 species
GACGAACGCUGGCGGCGUGCUUAACACAUGCAAGUCGAACGGAAAGGCCCUGCUUUUGUGGGGUGCUCGAGUGGCGAACGGGUGAGUAACACGUGAGUAACCUGCCCUUGACUUUGGGAUAACUUCAGGAAACUGGGGCUAAUACCGGAUAGGAGCUCCUGCUGCAUGGUGGGGGUUGGAAAGUUUCGGCGGGUGGGGAUGGACUCGCGGCUUAUCAGCUUGUUGGUGGGGUAGUGGCUUACCAAGGCUUUGACGGGUAGCCGGCCUGAGAGGGUGACCGGCCACAUUGGGACUGAGAUACGGCCCAGCCUCCUACGGGCGGCAGCAGUGGGGAAUAUUGCACAAUGGGCGGAAGCCUGAUGCAGCAACGCCGCGUGCGGGAUGACGGCCUUCGGGUUGUAAACCGCUUUCGCCUGUGACGAAGCGUGAGUGACGGUAAUGGGUAAGGAAGCACCGGCUAACUACGU